rnacentral:tRNA from 1 species
GCGGGUGUAGUUCAAUGGUAGAACCACAGCCUUCCAAGCUGUUGAUACGAGUUCGAGUCUCGUCGUCCGCU